rnacentral:rRNA from 1 species
GACGAACGCUGGCGGCGUGCCUAAUACAUGCAAGUCGAGCGGACUGAUUAAGAGCUUGCUCUUAUGACGUUAGCGGCGGACGGGUGAGUAACACGUGGGCAACCUGCCCUGUAGAUCGGGAUAACACCGAGAAAUCGGUGCUAAUACCGGGUAAUAUCUGAGAUCACAUGAUCUUAGGUUAAAAGAUGGCUCCGGCUAUCACUACAGGAUGGGCCCGCGGCGCAUUAGCUAGUUGGUAAGGUAAUGGCUUACCAAGGCGACGAUGCGUAGCCGACCUGAGAGGGUGAUCGGCCACACUGGGACUGGGACACGGCCCAGACUCCUACGGGAGGCAGCAGUAGGGAAUCUUCCGCAAUGGACGAAAGUCUGACGGAGCAACGCCGCGUGAGUGAUGAAGGGUUUCGGCUCGUAAAGCUCUGUUGUUAGGGAAGAAACAGUACCGAACGAACUAGGUCGGUACCUUGACGGUACCUAACCAGAAAGCCACGGCUAACUACGUG